GAUGAACGCUGGCGGCGUGCCUAAUACAUGCAAGUCGAGCGAACAGAUGAGGAGCUUGCUCCUCUGACGUUAGCGGCGGACGUGUGAGUAACACGUGGAUAACCUACCUAUAAGACUGGGAUAACUUCGGGAAACCGGAUCUAAUACCGGAUAAUAUAUUGAACCGCAUGGUUCAAUAGUGAAAGACGGUUUUGCUGUCACUUAUAGAUGGAUCCGCGCCGCAUUAGCUAGUUUGUAAGGUAACGGCUUACCAAGGCAACGAUGCGUACCCGACCUGAGAGGGUGAUCGCCCACACUGGAACUGAGACACGGUCCAGACUCCUACGGGAGGCAGCAGUAGGGAAUCUUCCGCAAUGGGCGAAAGCCUGACGGAGCAACGCCGCGUGAGUGAUGAAGGUCUUCGGAUCGUAAAACUCUGUUAUUAGGGAAGAACAAAUGUGUAAGUAACUAUGCACGUCUUGACGGUACCUAAUCAGAAAGCCACGGCUAACUACGUG
rnacentral:rRNA from 1 species